CACACAUGUAUGCAUACACUGACAGAGAGACACACACGUCCCCAUUAUCCUGUCCACCUGCCAGUAGGAUUUGGGAGGGUCCCUGGUGUAGGAAGUUGGCAGAAGGGAACCUUUGUGGGCAGUGUUAAUGGGCAUUACAUCUCAUUUAAUACAGUGUUUUGUUGUGGUGGGUGUUUUAUUGUGGUUGUUUUUUUUUUCUUGUCCAUGGCUUUUUGUAAUGUAAGGUCCAGCACUUUUUUUGUGAAGAAGCUCAAUACCUAGGGAUGUGCAUAUGGCAUCCUCAGAAGUCAGUCUGCUGCUCCCCAGUAUUAGCAGGAAGGCACAUGCUUGCUUCUGGUGGAUUUGGGCUUGGACCCUCCCAUUCCCUCUGUUUUAGUUCAGAUGAUUCAUCUCUGCGUUACUGCUUCUGCAUUUCCAUUGCUUUAAUUUGAUCUUUUGGAGGAAUUACAGUCUAUAUGGUAUUGGAAAAUGCUAUUUCUAAUAACAUACAGAGGGUGACACAGUUGCUUGUCUUCCCAGUCUGACCUUUUCCCACCAAGGUGUGUCUUCAGUCACCAAGAACAUCCGCCCACCCAAGUGUGUGCCAACACAAGGACAGCAGUUGUUUUGUGUACAGUGAUUAAAAACUAGGCUCAAUCUAAUUGCAUCUCCACCUGUCAUUUGUCUGCAGCUGGUGGGUAUGGAGAGGAAGUUGCAAGUGUUGUAGUUAACCAUAGUUUAACAGUUUACCACUUGCCACCUAAGAUUAAAAAUCUUUCUGGAAAUGUGUUUUUAGCCAGUGGAAAACAAAAUAAAAACCCACUAAGAUUGUUGAAGAUCUAAACAU